GCAACCAUUUCCGCAGAGUACGGGAUGUGGACAUGAAGCACGACUAUGCCUUCGUAGAAUUUAGUGAUCCUCGAGAUGCUGAUGAUGCAAGAUACUAUUUAGACGGCCGUGACAUUGAUGGACGCCGCAUAAUUGUGGAAUUUGCCAAGGGAGUGCCACGUGGACCAGGCGGUUCGCGUGAGUAUCUUGGAAAAGGACCUGCUCCUGGGUCGGGCCGCUGCUUCAACUGUGGCCUUGAAGGUCACUGGGCUCGAGAUUGCAAAGCUGGGGAUUGGAAGAACAAGUGUUAUCGAUGUGGAGAAAGAGGUCAUAUAGAAAGGAAAUGCCCAAAUAGUCCUAAAAAACUCAGUAGACGUGAUCGCAGCUAUUUACGGUCACCUGUUAGGUCACGGUCACGCUCACGUUCACGUUCUCCUCGUCGAAGUUAUAGCAGAAGUCGCAGCUAUAGGUGAGUUUUGACACGUAUCCCCCCGCCAAAGAGAGAACAAGUCGACCAGGUGAAGCGAUCAAGAAGCUACAGUAGGAGCCCGGAGCCAAGGAAGACUAGUCCAAGUCCUCCACCCAAGAGUAGGAAGUGCAGCCCAGCACCCGAAGAGGGAAGCCCGAUGGAAGUAAAGAGCCCUCCUUCACCAACCAGAGAGGAAGGUGCCUAUAGCCAAAGCCCCAGAGAGAGAAGUGGAAGUCCUUCAAGUCCUAGUAGGGAUAGCCCAGCUCCUCGAAAGUAUGAUGACAGCCCUGCUGAAGCUAAUGGUGGAAGCCGAAGCCCGAGUCCCAAGUACCGGAGGAACCAUGCAGAUGAUAAGGAUGAGGAUGAAGGUGAGUUUCAUAAUCAGCCAAUCACCUUGAAACUUGGUGGAAUCUUUCUGAAUGCAUUUUGUGGACAUUUUGUCAAGGCUGGAACUUGUGAGGACUAAUGAGAUGUACUUGAAAGAAUUGACUUGCAUCUAUAUUUGGGAUUAUAUGUUAGUACAAUGCUUAGUAUUUGAUGAAUACUAGACUAGCCAUUGAGCAAUAUAAUACCUCUUCUAAAUGAAAUUACAAAGCCUUUGGUGAA